CGGGGUGUAGCGCAGUCCGGUUAGCGCGUACCGUUCGGGACGGUAAGGUCGGAGGUUCGAAUCCUCUCACCCCGA
rnacentral:tRNA from 1 species